GUGGGGAAUAUUGGACAAUGGGCGAAAGCCUGAUCCAGCCAUGCCGCGUGUGUGAAGAAGGUCUUCGGAUUGUAAAGCACUUUAAGUUGGGAGGAAGGGCAGUAAGUUAAUACCUUGCUGUUUUGACGUUACCGACAGAAUAAGCCCCGGCUAACUUCGUGCCAGCAGCCGCGGUAAUACGAAGGGUGCAAGCGUUAAUCGGAAUUACUGGGCGUAAAGCGCGCGUAGGUGGUUUUGUAAGUUGGAGGUGAAAUCCCCGGGCUCAACCUGGGAACUGCCUCCAAAACUACUGGGCUAGAGUACGGUAGAGGGUAGUGGAAUUUCCUGUGUAGCGGUGAAAUGCGUAGAUAUAGGAAGGAACACCAGUGGCGAAGGCGACUACCUGGACUGAUACUGACACUGAGGUGCGAAAGCGUGGGGAGCAAACAGGAUUAGAUACCCCAGUAGUCC
rnacentral:rRNA from 1 species